UUUUCGAUGGGUACGCGACCGUAACAGACGCCAAUAACCCUAUUGAAUCAUAGCCGCAUUAUUAUUGACGAUGACACUGCCCGCUGCGUCUUGUCGCGCUUGUUCUACCUCGGGUAGCGAUUAAGUAGUAUAUAAGAAUGGCGACCAACGUCAUGUUGCCUGUGUGCGUUGACUCCUUUCCGUCUCCGGCUCAAGAGGAUUUGUCACGACAGCUAUACAACAAUUUUUCAGUUUAAUGUCAUCGGAAAGGGUUAUCGUUGCAACACUUCUGGAGCGGCCUCAAUAACGGACUCGUUAAAAAAAAAACUCACUAUCUGCCAUGCUGCGGCCAAUCUGAAAGGCCCCUGAUACUUUUCGUUUUCUCUGUGGCAACUUGUGUAAGUUGGUGCCCCAAAAAGCAAUCCUCAAGUCGUGCUCCUCACUUCGAGGCUAUGACGUCAAGCACGAAGAUUUCUGUCGAGGAUUAGUGCGUUCACUCGGAGCUUUCCCAACAGGCCCGCUGCACGGUCAAACAUCAUCUACUAUCCUCAUGGCGGCUUGACUUUGCGGUCCUAGCUUCCACCCUCGUCCUAUCCAAGGGAUAGCGGUUCUCCUUAACGAAUCUACCGAAUCCCAUCACAGCCAGAUGACUCCUUCAGGUAGCCGCUGGAAAGCCGGUGGUAAAGUCGUAUAAGCCUUUUUACAUCUUGGAUGGAGAGGCCAGCGAAGCUAAAGCCGUCAUUCAAUGAUUGUCAUGGAUCUGAGAGAAAAGCGGCGGGGGGAGGGGUAAGCGGCGGAUAGCAGCGAGAGGGCUCGAGGAUCUGGGUGGAUCAAACUGUCACCGAAGUUGUCCCGACACUGCUGACAGCGCCUAUCCGUUCACCAACAGAUACCUACCCAUUAUGGCACUCGUUGAAUGUGGAUGACCGCGAGGAUGCUGGUAUCGGGUAUCCCCUUCAUAGUUUUGCUAAGAAAAGCUGACGCUGGUUACUGAUAAUGCAAACGAUCAAACGCUCUUAGACUUGAUAACAUCAACAUAGACGACUGAAGUUGUAUUAUAGAGGCGUCUGUUGAGAUAACGGAGCAUAUCAAAUAUAUAGAAUAACUAACACAUUUUAGUACUUGAUGAAGAUAGAUUGUAUAGUAAAUCAUAUUAUAUAAAUUGUAUUAAUGACAGUAGUUGUAACUAAAUAGUUCUCAGUAGAAUAAUUUGAAUUCGAAAAUCGUUAAAGCUUAUUAAAGACGAAAAGUUGUCUACAGACAUUUUCACAGUAGGGUUGUCCUUUAAGCCUUCAAUCUAGUAACUGAAUGAAAAGGUCCACAUUAUAAUAAAACCGUGUUCACCAAAGACCACUUCAACAAUACGGAAUUGUGUUUUUUAUUCGCUACAACAUUGUUUUUCCUAUUCCCUUUCGACGAAUGAAUUGGAAACACCGUAUUACAAUUAAUAGCUCGUAUAGGACAAUUGAAUAAAGUCAAAGUCAUUACCCACAAAAUAAACGUAAACAAUUCUUUCGGAGCGCACAAAGUGCAUGGGGCGUUCAUUUGCUCCACGUUUCGAUACAGAUUGUAGUCACGACAGUACGAAAUAAGAUUGAGUCCAUUAAACAUAUCGACCACUUUGUACAAAAUUGUCAAAUAGAGCAGCUAUUGCCAAUAGCAUCAAACACUAUGAUGUAUCAAGAUUUUCACAUAUUCAACAGUUUUUCGUGUCAACCAGUAAAAUAUAGAAUUCGGUUAAAUUGUUGUUAAAUUCGGUUUAACAAAAAACUGAACGUGGUGUCAUUUCCAUUGAUAUCAUGCUUACAUUUUGAAAUACCCGGUUUCAGGUAGAACACAGCCCUUAACAGUAAAGAUUCAUUGGACAGAGUUUUUAUCGGUCACAGUCGACCACUUCAUAUUCUGAAGCAUUUGUCUUAUUUUGAAAGCCCCUAUCUAAAGCACAGCUGUGCAGAAAAAGGUACUUUAACAAAUCGUAGAAUUCGUUCCACGUGGAGAGAGUUCACUAGGCGCCCAAUUUAGCGGCUUAACUACUCGGCCACAUUGCCUUUGUGCCAUGUAGUCCGUCCAAAAAUAAAACAUUUCGCUCAUAUCUAUGUCAUACAUUCUUAAAUACAUACGGAAUUAUUUUACUAAUUUGGGAAUUGUGUGUAUCGCAUGACGAGGUGGCCGAGUGGUUAAGGCGUUGGACUGCUAAUCCAAUGGGCUCUGCCCGCGUGGGUUCGAAUCCCAUCUUCGUCGUGAACAUUUUGCUCUAAAGGUUUAACUCCUCAUUUCUUUCGCUCGCACAAAUCAAGCUGUGUCGAAAUCAAGCUAUAUAUUAUUAUGGCAGGCGUAAUCGCUCAACACACGUAAACCAAAAUAUUGGAUGCAAAAACAAAACGGUCAUUGUUUCCAUUGCCUUUUCAUAGUUAUCUAAAAAGAAAGGAUACAUUAGUUUUAUUCACACAAAUUCUUUAUCUCAAAAACUUCCGAUUAAACUGCAAUCUCACAUGAAAAAUAUUUAGGAAUACAAACAUAUAUUUGAUGCUUACAUAUAUACAAAAAUACAACUUUCGAUAGUAUAUUAUUAGUAUGCUACAGGAUGCAUCAGCCGGCUGAUAGCCGCAAAAAACGUUCUAGCUUUUAUGUAAAACGUAUCAUUCAGAUCGCGAGAUAUUGCGAAUUGCGGUCGAUAGCUACAAUAGUUGGGCGAAUAACACGGCACCAAGUUACUAUAUGCCUAUGAUCGUUACUAUGUUUGGCAUUGUGCAUCUCUAAACGGAAACGACGUUUAAAGGUACACAUAGUGACUGUGCGGAAAACAACGCAAAUUUAGAUUAUGUCCAAAUCAGAUGUUCUAGAACAGUGUAAUUAGAUUUAUUAAACAACUAAUAAACAAGCUACUUAUUUUCUCUUAAUAUAUGUUCAAGCUCAUAUUAAUGUUGUUUAUGAAAUUUAUUUUUAACCGUAAUUUGAUUAUUUUUAAAAUUAUACUAAUAUGUUACAUAGAACCUCUUUAGGCUGAGCUGAUUAUCUUUCUAAAUCCAAAAUUUUCCGUAAGACCCAUUCAGAUAGUUUUAAAUGAACAAUAAACAUACGGCACUCCACAACCGUCCUCUGUUUGUUUAGAAUUUAAGUUACGAUUUUGCUUCUAUCGUUUAUCUACCUAGAGGAUUCGAUAGCCACUCUACAGCCUAAUCAGGUACGUCACACAAAAUGCUUGUGUUCAAUAGCAAUCCUAAGGAAAUACCCGUUUAUUAGGCAACUAAAAUUUAGGGAGCACCUUAGGUCUGUCGAACUGCUUUUAAACUUUAUAAACAGAAAUAUUUAAAUAUAUCAAUACAGUCGGGCUCUUUUUGU
rnacentral:tRNA from 1 species